UACAGAGGUCCCAAGCGUUGUUCGGAUUCACUGGGUUUAAAGGGUGCGUAGGUGGAUUGGUAAGUCAGUGGUGAAAUCUCCGGGCUUAACCCGGAAACUGCCAUUGAUACUAUCAGUCUUGAAUACCGUGGAGGUCAGUAGAAUAUGUCAUGUAGCGGUGAAAUGCUUAGAUAUGACAUAGAAUACCAAUUGCGAAGGCAGCUGGCUACACGAAUAUUGACACUCAGGCACGAAAGCGUGGGGAUCAAACAGG
rnacentral:rRNA from 1 species